GACAGAGGCCUCAAGCGUUAGGCGGAAUCACUGGGCUUAAAGCGUGUGUAGGCGGAUCGUUAAGUGUCUUGUGAAAUCCCACGGCUCACCCGUGGAACUGCUGGGCAUACUAGCGAUCUUGGGCCAACUAGGGCAACUGGAACAAGCGGUGGAGCGGUGAAAUGCGUAGAUAUCGCUUGGAACGCCAAAGGUGAAAACAGGGUUGCUGGGGUUGUGCC
rnacentral:rRNA from 1 species